rnacentral:rRNA from 1 species
UACGUAGGGGGCUAGCGUUGUCCGGAAUCAUUGGGCGUAAAGAGCGUGUAGGCGGUCCGGUAAGUCCGCUGUGAAAGUCGGGGGCUCAACCCUCGAAUGCCGGUGGAUACUGUCGGGCUAGAGUACGGAAGAGGCGAGUGGAAUUCCUGGUGUGGCGGUGAAAUGCGCAGAUAUCAGGAGGAACACCUAUUGCGAAGGCAGCUCGCUGGGACGUAACUGACGCUGAGACGCGAAAGCGUGGGGAGCGAACAGG